rnacentral:misc_RNA from 1 species
AACACGCACAGAGCUUCAUCCAUCUUGUUUUGUAGAUCUGUCAAUGUUGAUAAUUUAUGUUUGUGUAUGAGUGAAUAGUUAUUUGUAAUAACCUAUUUUAUGUAUUUAAAUUUAUGAUCGUGAAUAAUUCAUCAUGACUUGGGGGUUUGUGACGUGUGGUCCUAACGAGGCGUUAGUUGUAUCAGGAUGUUGCUACACUAAACCACUUCUAGUUCCUGGUGGAAGAGCGUUCGUUUGGCCAACUAUACAAUGUGUACAGAGGAUAUCUCUGAACACCAUGACUCUUCAAGUGGACAGUCCAACAGUUUAUACCAGCCAGGGCGUUCCAAUAUCUGUUACUGGAAUAGCACAGGUAAAAAUCCAGGGUCAAAAUGAAGAAAUGCUUCUAGCAGCUUGUGAACAGUUUCUGGGCAAGACAGAUGCUGAAAUUCAAAAUAUUGCGUUAGUUACAUUGGAAGGACACCAGAGGGCGAUCAUGGGCAGUAUGACAGUCGAGGAAAUCUACAAAGAUCGAAAAAAGUUCAGCAAACAGGUGUUCGAAGUGGCGUCAUCCGAUCUGGUCAAUAUGGGCAUCACUGUUGUUUCUUACACACUCAAAGACAUCAGAGAUGAAGAGGGAUACUUGAAAAGUUUGGGAAUGGCGAGAACAGCAGAAGUGAAACGAGAUGCAAGAAUAGGCGAGGCGGAGGCCAGGAGAGACGCCAGAAUAAAGGAGGCAAUAGCUGAAGAAGAACAGAUGGCAUCAAGAUAUUUGAACGACACCGAAAUAGCGAAAGCACAGCGAGAUUUCGAACUGAAAAAAGCCGCUUAUGAUAUGGAGGUCCAAACAAAGAAAGCGGAAGCAGAGCUGGCGUACGAGCUGCAAGCGGCAAAGACGAAGCAGCGCAUCAAGGAGGAGCAGAUGCAGAUCAAGGUGGUGGAGCGCACACAGGAGAUCGCCGUGCAAGACCAGGAGAUUCAGCGGCGCGAACGCGAGCUGGAGGCAACCAUUCGCCGGCCGGCUGAGGCCGAGAAGUACAGAUUGGAGAAGCUGGCAGAGGCGAACCGGAAGCGGGUGAUAAUGGAGGCGGAAGCAGAGGCGGAGUCGGUGCGCGUGCGCGGAGAGGCGGAGGCAUUCGCCGUGGAGGCCAAGGCGCGCGCCGAGGCAGAGCAGAUGCUGAAGAAGGCGGAAGCCUGGCGCGAGUACCACGACGCCGCUGUCAUUGAUAUGCUCCUCGAAACACUGCCUAAGGUUGCGGCCGAGGUGGCAGCGCCACUGUCGCAGGCGAAGAAGAUCACGAUGGUGUCGUCGGGCGGAGGGGAGGUGGGUGCCGCCAAGCUGACAGGGGAGGUGCUCGACAUUGUCGCCAAGGUGCCCGACCUCGUCAAAAGCAUGACCGGGGUCAACAUCAUGAAGCAAUUACCGGCGGCAUGAGUCAGAUGUGUGUAACAAAAAUAUGCAAUUUGAUGAAAAUUCAAUGUAUAAUUAAUUGUAAACAAGAAUGUGGAAUCAAUGUAAUCUAUUCCCAUUCAAGACAACCGCUGCCAUUCAGCAUUGUGUUCUGUAUGAUUCCAUUCAUUAAAUUUGUAGCUUUGUUAAAUUAGUUGCAGCCUAUCGUGAUAGAAUAAUCCAAGUGCAGCUUAAAGUGUUAAUCAAUUUCGUCCUUGAUGCUUUAAAAAUAUAUUGAAUAAUUGCAGUGCCAAAUAGACAAUCAUAAUGGAUUAUAUUAAAUUAUAGUAACAAAAAUAGAUAAUUCACAAACUUUGCCGUAUAACGUGGAUACAACUAGGGAUGAAUCUCAAAAGUUAAGAAAAGAAUCAAGAUUUUAAAAGAAAUAUUUAUUUAUUGGAAUCUCUUAUGUCUGAAACUAUUAUAACUUGAAUUAUCUCAUUAGAGUACACAGUUGAAGCCUUCUAGUUAAGUAACUGUUUUGCUAUCAUUUAAAUCAAUUGAAUCUGUAUUAUUAGAAUUUUAUUUCUUCACUGGAAGCUGACAAAAUUCUUGAAUGAUUUUCCAAUUAUCAAGGUUGAAGACUCCUCAAGUUUUUAACUCUAUUGCAAUUUCCAUUUGUGAGGCUAUUGAUUGUGUUGAAAAAUUACCGCGAACAUAAAACACCAAUUUUGUACGAACCAAUGUGUGUACUAGAAAUUCUUCCUUUUUAAAUGUGCCAAAAUUUUAAAAGCUUUUAGAGAUCUUCCAAAUUAUCAGUUUCUAGUCAAAACUAUUCCCUGCUUCUAAAUGUAGGGUUUUCUAUUAAAUCUAUUUCUAAUCGAAUAUAUAGGAAUUGUUUUCAAAUUAUAUAGAUACUCUGCUGAAUGGUUAGGGUCUCUAAUCAAACCUAUUUAGCUUAGUAUGAAGAAGCCUUAUUAACAAAAAAUAUAUGAAAAUAUAUGUUAUAAGAUACAGAAAUAUAAAAACAGAUGCUAUAAAGUUGUUUUGAGAGAUUGUACCAAAUAUAGUUGGAAUGCUUGAGAACGAAUGUGUUCAUAUAUAUUAUAAAUAUAUUAAUUAUUGUUCAUUACAGAAUGAUUAUUAUAUAUUGUUUGAUAACCAUUAAUUUUAAAAUUCAAAUUAUUCAAGUCAUGCUUUCAAUGUCUACAAUAUCUGCAUAUGAUGGUCAGAAUUUUUCAAGUUUUGAAAUAUUGUUUUCAAAUGUUGACUAAUUGACUAUCUUCUCUGUUUUUCUACCGUGGCAGGUACUUAAUAUUAGAGCUCUGUUAAGCACAAUUUUUACUUGGAACAAUAUCCAUUAGUCUAUAUCUAUGUUAAAACAGUCUAGUUUUCUAACAGAAUAUGGUACAAAGCUUUUAUUCUAAGAUGAAAAAGCGGUUGAAAUCAACUUCAAAUAUCAGAAAAGUAGAUUUUUAUUAGAACCAUACUAAAAUAUACAUCAAACAAACUUCAAAUUUAUGUGUAAAUUUGUCAUGUUAACAAAUUAAAUUUUCUUGAAAUAUUAAUGGAUAGGACUGUUUGAAUUAUUUGUGUAAAUUUAGCUCUCUUCAAACUGAAUAUAUCUUCUCAAAAUAUCCAGAAAGAACUCCUGAAGUAUUCUUAGAAGAAUAUGGCAGUUUGAGAACUUGAAUCAAAUUCCUGAAGACUUUUUUCACUCAUUGAAAGUGUCCGCACCCGGCUUUCGCACGGACAGUUUUCUCUGACGGGGCGACAACGGCGCAUCUCCGUCAGUCGUGGCCGCUGCGGCAGCUCACUUCAAACUGAAGACGACGCGCAUCGACGGCGGCGCAGGCCAGGGCGCAUGCACAGAAACCGGCCAAUCAGCAGCCGGCAGCCACGCGUGAGCUGGCACAAACCACGCCCCCUUCUCCCUCCACCAACGACACGCCGUCCAAGUCAACUCGUUACUUUGCUGGCGCCCUGUACAAUAUUAUGCCAAUGAACAGUCCAUUUGGCUUUGUAUUAUUAAAAUUAUAAACUGGAAAAUAACUGUUGACCCUCUGCAUUUUAUGACAAAAAAUAGAACAAACAAUCUUUAGUGAGUGAUGUCAUCUCAUUGCAUUCAAGUGAAUGAACAAUAAACCAUUGUUCAGAUUGAAAUGAGAGUGGGCGUGCAAGUUAGGGUAAAAUGCAAUAAGAUACUAUGUUUUUUCUUUGGUCAGAGAAAUUAAUCAAAUGGUUGUCAGUAAUUUUCCAUUCUUUAGUACAGUUUCAGUAGGGGUUCUACUGAAAAUAAGUUUGUUCAACAUCACCCACUGGUCAUUCCUAGUCAAAUUUUGUCAUCAGUACCAAAUAUUAUUGAUAGGUAUGAUACAUUUAUAACUGAAUUUUCAUUAUUAUUUACUAAUUGCAAUGCUUUGAAUGAAACUAUACUUUUGAGUUGGUUCAUUUGUCAGAAAGGAAAGAGCAGUUUGAAACAUUAUGAUCUUAGUUUGGAAAUGUGCUUUUCUUUUAAACGUGGCAGCAGACGGAUUUGCACAACACGUUCAUGCAGCCACAUAUUUGUGAAUGCUGCUCUUAUUAAAUAAUAAUCCCUGAUAGCAGCAGUGAUCAAUACUACUGUUCUUCACCUUUUCAACUUAAACUGAGAAAGUCAUCUAGUCAAUCAUUCAAUAAUAUUGUCGAUAAUAAUAUUAGUAAACUGAAUGAAAUAUUUCUUGUCUAAAAUUAAUAGAUUACCCUCCUCCUUGAAACAAACAUUCAUAAUAUAUUAUUACCAAAGAAAACUAUUUUUCUAAGAGGUUGUCUGAUAUUUGAAGUUGAUCUAAACAAUUUGAAUAUCUUAAUUAUAUUAAUAUUUGGAUGUUUAGAUGUUAUAAAUCCUCCAGCUUGAGAAGUACUGCCAUUUGAAACUUCUAAUCGCCCGCUUUGAAGCCAAAUAUAUUGUACCGUGACUUACUUGCAUCAUCUGUAAAAUAUUGCACCGUAUUUUUACCAUUUCAUCAAAUCAUUCUAUCAUUUCUAGGCAUAUAUUUGAUUAUUUCAUAGUUAUUGUUUAGUUUAUUGUGCUAGAUGUAGAUAACAAAUUCAGUAAACAUUUCUGCAUUGAAAAUGCUCUUUAAUUAUGUCUUUUACACGAGUUUUUUCUACUUGAAAUUGUAAUUGGUGACCAAUAAUUAUGAUGUUCUUGUUAAAUAAUAUUUCUUCUAAUGAAUUCUUCAUAAAUUGGUUGAAUAAAAUCGAUAAAAAUGUAUGAAAAUCCCCUGAUUGUUAGAACAAUGUGUGUAAGUGUUGAUUAUCUAAAUAUAUAAACUUCUUGUAUGAAUGAACUAAUGAAUGUUUGUUGAAUGAUAGUAGUGCAAUUAUUUGUUCUGUAACUUGAGUUUCACCAAAAAUUUGAGUUCCAAAAUUUUAACUACCACUAAAAAAAAUUGAACUCAUGAAUAUAUUCUAUUCAAAAUAUCAGAUUCUAUUUAUGGAGAAUAAUAAUUAAAAAUUUAAUUGAUUGUUUAAUUUUGGUAAUUCAAUUUUCUAUUAACUGUGGAGAUUUCGUACAACGUCACAUCACAGUACUUACUUUUUAUAUCUUAUACAAAAUAUGAAAAAAGGUUAUAAGCAAAUGAAGGUCAGUACUGAGAGGUUUAUUCUUUGUGUCGAAAUUUAUCCUAGUACGUUUGUUCUAUUUAUAAUUUGGCUAUAAAUUAUAACUAAUUUAUAAUUAAUUAUAAAUAAGUGAACUUCAGAAUCUCAUCUUUCAACGUCAAUAACAACAUUUUCCCUUUAUUCAAUCUUUCUUUGGAAAAAAUGUUCAUAAAAUAAGUUUUCAGGAGUCUCCUGAAGUAGUUUCUGAUAUUUUACCAAUGACUGUUAAAUUUCAAGUCGUAAUAUUCUUGUUUGUUUCUAUGAAAUCUACAGUGUUUGUUGUUUUGUCAUCUUAUUAGAAAAGUAUAACUGAAAAUGAGGAAUAAAACUGACAUUUAAAAUCUGAA